UAAUUGAAGAGUUUGAUCAUGGCUCAGAUUGAACGCUGGCGGCAGGCCUAACACAUGCAAGUCGAGCGGUAACAGAAAGUAGCUUGCUACUUUGCUGACGAGCGGCGGACGGGUGAGUAAUGCUUGGGAACAUGCCUUGAGGUGGGGGACAACAGUUGGAAACGACUGCUAAUACCGCAUAAUGU
rnacentral:rRNA from 1 species